GCUUACCUCUGCUACAGGUUCCUGUUCAACAGCAACACAUAGCCUGACCCUCCUCCACUCCACCUCCACCCACUGUCCGCCUCUGCCCGCAGAGCCCACGCCCGACUAGCAGGCAUGCCGCGGUAGGUAAGGGCCGCCGGACCGCGUAGAGAGCCGGGCCCCGGACGGACGUUGGUUCUGCACUAAAACCCAUCUUCCCCGGAUGUGUGUCUCACCCCUCAUCCUUUUACUUUUUGCCCCUUCCACUUUGAGUACCAAAUCCACAAGCCAUUUUUUGAGGAGAGUGAAAGAGAGUACCAUGCUGGCGGCGCAGAGGGAAGGGGCCUACACCCGUCUUGGGGCUCGCCCCACCCAGGGCUCCCUCCUGGAGCAUCCCAGGCGGGCGGCACGCCAACAGCCCCCCCCUUGAAUCUGCAGGGAGCAACUCUCCACUCCAUAUUUAUUUAAACAAUUUUUUCCCCAAAGGCAUCCAUAGUGCACUAGCAUUUUCUUGAACCAAUAAUGUAUUAAAAUUUUUUGAUGUCAGCCUUGCAUCAAGGGCUUUAUCAAAAAGUACAAUAAUAAAUCCUCAGGUAGUACUGGGAAUGGAAGGCUUUGCCAUGGGCCUGCUGCGUCAGACCAGUACUGGGAAGGAGGACGGUUGUAAGCAGUUGUUAUUUAGUGAUAUUGUGGGUAACGUGAGAAGAUAGAACAAUGCUAUAAUAUAUAAUGAACACGUGGGUAUUUAAUAAGAAACAUGAUGUGAGAUUACUUUGUCCCGCUUAUUCUCCUCCCUGUUAUCUGCUAGAUCUAGUUCUCAAUCACUGCUCCCCCGUGUGUAUUAGAAUGCAUGUAAGGUCUUCUUGUGUCCUGAUGAAAAAUAUGUGCUUGAAAUGAGAAACUUUGAUCUCUGCUUACUAAUGUGCCCCAUGUCCAAGUCCAACCUGCCUGUGCAUGACCUGAUCAUUACAUGGCUGUGGUUCCUAAGCCUGUUGCUGAAGUCAUUGUCGCUCAGCAAUAGGGUGCAGUUUUCCAGGAAUAGGCAUUUGCCUAAUUCCUGGCAUGACACUCUAGUGACUUCCUGGUGAGGCCCAGCCUGUCCUGGUACAGCAGGGUCUUGCUGUAACUCAGACAUUCCAAGGGUAUGGGAAGCCAUAUUCACACCUCACGCUCUGGACAUGAUUUAGGGAAGCAGGGACACCCCCCGCCCCCCACCUUUGGGAUCAGCCUCCGCCAUUCCAAGUCAACACUCUUCUUGAGCAGACCGUGAUUUGGAAGAGAGGCACCUGCUGGAAACCACACUUCUUGAAACAGCCUGGGUGACGGUCCUUUAGGCAGCCUGCCGCCGUCUCUGUCCCGGUUCACCUUGCCGAGAGAGGCGCGUCUGCCCCACCCUCAAACCCUGUGGGGCCUGAUGGUGCUCACGACUCUUCCUGCAAAGGGAACUGAAGACCUCCACAUUAAGUGGCUUUUUAACAUGAAAAACACGGCAGCUGUAGCUCCCGAGCUACUCUCUUGCCAGCAUUUUCACAUUUUGCCUUUCUCGUGGUAGAAGCCAGUACAGAGAAAUUCUGUGGUGGGAACAUUCGAGGUGUCACCCUGCAGAGCUAUGGUGAGGUGUGGAUAAGGCUUAGGUGCCAGGCUGUAAGCAUUCUGAGCUGGGCUUGUUGUUUUUAAGUCCUGUAUAUGUAUGUAGUAGUUUGGGUGUGUAUAUAUAGUAGCAUUUCAAAAUGGACGUACUGGUUUAACCUCCUAUCCUUGGAGAGCAGCUGGCUCUCCACCUUGUUACACAUUAUGUUAGAGAGGUAGCGAGCUGCUCUGCUAUAUGCCUUAAGCCAAUAUUUACUCAUCAGGUCAUUAUUUUUUACAAUGGCCAUGGAAUAAACCAUUUUUA
rnacentral:lncRNA from 1 species